rnacentral:rRNA from 1 species
UAUACUGCAGUCGAACGCACAGCGAAAGGUGCUUGCACCUUUCAAGUGAGUGGCGAACGGGUGAGUAACACGUGGACAACCUGCCUCAAGGCUGGGGAUAACAUUUGGAAACAGAUGCUAAUACCGAAUAAAACUUAGUAUCGCAUGAUACCAGGUUAAAAGGCGCUACGGCGUCACCUAGAGAUGGAUCCGCGGUGCAUUAGUUAGUUGGUGGGGUAAAGGCCUACCAAGACAAUGAUGCAUAGCCGAGUUGAGAGACUGAUCGGCCACAUUGGGACUGAGACACGGCCCAAACUCCUACGGGAGGCUGCAGUAGGGAAUCUUCCACAAUGGGCGAAAGCCUGAUGGAGCAACGCCGCGUGUGUGAUGAAGGCUUUCGGGUCGUAAAGCACUGUUGUAUGGGAAGAAAAGUUAAGGUAGGGAAUGACCUUAGCCUGACGGUACCAUACCAGAAAGGGACGGCUAAAUACGUGCCAGCAGCCGCGGUAAUACGUAUGUCCCGAGCGUUAUCCGGAUUUAUUGGGCGUAAAGCGAGCGCAGACGGUUGGUUAAGUCUGAUGUGAAAGCCCGGAGCUCAACUCCGGAAAGGCAUUGGAAACUGGUUAACUUGAGUGCAGUAGAGGUAAGUGGAACUCCAUGUGUAGCGGUGGAAUGCGUAGAUAUAUGGAAGAACACCAGCGGCGAAGGCGGCUUACUGGACUGUAACUGACGUUGAGGCUCGAAAGUGUGGGUAGCAAACAGGAUUAGAUACCCUGGUAGUCCACACCGUAAACGAUGAACACUAGGUGUUAGGAGGUUUCCGCCUCUUAGUGCCGAAGCUAACGCAUUAAGUGUUCCGCCUGGGGAGUACGACCGCAAGGUUGAAACUCAAGGAAUUGACGGGGACCCGCACAAGCGGUGGAGCAUGUGGUUUAAUUCGAAGCAACGCGAGA